GGGUUGCUAACUCAACGGUAGAGUACUCGGCUUUUAACCAUCCGACUAGUUCCGGGUUCGAAUCCCGGGCAACCCA
rnacentral:tRNA from 46 species